UACUCGAGUGGCGAACGGGUGAGUAACACGUGGGUGAUCUGCCCUGCACUUUGGGAUAAGCCUGGGAAACUGGGUCUAAUACCGAAUACACCUUGCUGGAUGCAUGUCUGGUGGGGGAAAGCUUUUGCGGUGUGGGAUGGGCCCGCGGCCUAUCAGCUUGUUGGUGAGGUUAUGGCUUACCAAGGCGACGACGGGUAGCCGGCCUGAGAGGGUGUCCGGCCACACUGGGACUGAGAUACGGCCCAGACUCCUACGGGAGGCAGCAGUGGGGAAUAUUGCACAAUGGGCGCAAGCCUGAUGCAGCGACGCCGCGUGAGGGAUGACGGCCUUCGGGUUGUAAACCUCUUUCAGUAGGGACGAAGCGAAAGUGACGGUACCUGCAGAAGAAGGACCGGCCAACUACGUGCCAGCAGCCGCGGUAAUACGUAGGGUCCGAGCGUUGUCCGGAAUUACUGGGCGUAAAGAGCUCGUAGGUGGUUUGUCGCGUUGUUCGUGAAAACUCACAGCUUAACUGUGGGCGUGCGGGCGAUACGGGCAGACUGGAGUACUGCAGGGGAGACUGGAAUUCCUGGUGUAGCGGUGGAAUGCGCAGAUAUCAGGAGGAACACCGGUGGCGAAGGCGGGUCUCUGGGCAGUAACUGACGCUGAGGAGCGAAAGCGUGGGGAGCGAACAGGAUUAGAUACCCUGGUAGUCCACGCCGUAAACGGUGGGUACUAGGUG
rnacentral:rRNA from 1 species